AUUCAGUUUUAGCUACUGUUCUACUGUUUUACGAAGAGUUGCAACAGUUAAUGGAACAGUAAUAAAAAGACACAAAUUUUAAAGUGGUUCGGAUACAAUUGUACCCUACAUCCACGGGAACCUGCAAAUGAAAUUCACUAAUUUUUAGUUUUACGAAUACAGUAAUAGGACUUAAUCGAAAAUGCAAAGACUCCCUCUUUGUCGACGCCGUUCUUGUAUCCUACGCUGAAUUGUCAAUCUUCACUUUGCAGCACGUCCCUUUCCGCACGGUUGAAAUUCCUUCAACGCUGAGUCCCUCAGUCGGCGGAUCGACCUCCUCCCGAGAUCUUCUGAAUUCUCCUCCCGAAGAACCGAUCUUCUUUUCGGUGAAAGAAGCAAAACCUUUCUCUGUAUUUUCUUC
rnacentral:lncRNA from 1 species